rnacentral:rRNA from 1 species
GACGAACGCUGGCGGCGUGCCUAAUACAUGCAAGUUGAGCGCUGAAGGUUGGUACUUGUACCAACUGGAUGAGCAGCGAACGGGUGAGUAACGCGUGGGGAAUCUGCCUUUGAGCGGGGGACAACAUUUGGAAACGAAUGCUAAUACCGCAUAAAAACUUUAAACACAAGUUUUAAGUUUGAAAGAUGCAAUUGCAUCACUCAAAGAUGAUCCCGCGUUGUAUUAGCUAGUUGGUGAGGUAAAGGCUCACCAAGGCGAUGAUACAUAGCCGACCUGAGAGGGUGGUCGGCCACAUUGGGACUGAGACACGGCCCAAACUCCUACGGGAGGGAGCAGGAGGGAAUCUUCGGCAAUGGACGGAAGUCUGACCGAGCAACGCCGCGUGAGGGGAGAAGGGUUUCGGAUCGUAAAACUCUGUUGGUAGGGAAGGACGUUGGUGGGAGUGGAAAGCUCAUCAAGUGACGGUAACUACACAGAAAGGGACGGCUAACUACGUG